rnacentral:lncRNA from 1 species
GCUUCGCUACAAUUGCCUUUUUUCUAUGCUGCUUCAGCUAAAGAGAUUGUUGUAUUUUCAGAUGAUUCAAAAUAUUUCACAGAUGAGUGAUUGUGUUCAGCUGUAUCUACUAAAGCUAAUGCUACCUGGAUUCGAGGGGUGUGACCUGCCAGUAUAUCCAAGGGCAAUGGCACUAUACCCUCCCAACCUAGAUGGGCCCCCCCCUUUCCUUUUUGUAGGAGUGUUCCUGAUUCCAUUCCACCUUGGGCAGUGCCCCCUUAUAUGUAUGGUUGUUAUGUGGGGUGAAUGGUACUGAUCCCUUGCCUCAGGGCUGAUGGGAUCCCUGGGAUGUAUGCUUGUAAUAUAGUGUGUGUGUUGUGUGUUUGGUGUAUGUGUUGGGUGCAGCGUGUGCAGGCCCUCACUUCUGCCAUGGUGGCGCAGGCCUUUGCCGCAGUGGAGGCGGGACAAUCUCCUCAGAUUUGGCUUGCCGCUCUAAAGAAAUAAUGCUGAGUUAUGCCGUGGGUUGCGAGGCUAAGCACUGCACAGAGGAUAGCUUGCUGUUGGCAUCCUGUGGAAGGUACAUCUGAUUGCAUGAAGGUUCAGUGUCCUAGUUCCCUUCACCCAGGAAAAACGACACGGGAGCUGGCCAAGACCUCUCUGGGUGAUGAGCCCAAGGGAUGGUUUUGUGUAGGGCCCCUAUGCUUGCACACUGGGGAUCAGACCUUCACCCAUGAGUCUUGCUUGCAGCAAGCAAAAUCGGGCCAUAGAUUAAUCAGCGUCCUGGCCUUCUGGUGCACCUGCCACAUGCAGACAGGACAAUCUCCUCAAGUAUGGCUUGGCAUGAUAGAGAAGUAGUCAAUGACGGAUAAAACUCCCUGGGCGUGUCACCAACCUAAGACAGGGAU